UGGGGAAUAUUGCACAAUGGGCGAAAGCCUGAUGCAGCCACGCCGCGUGAGGGAUGACGGCCUUCGGGUUGUAAACCUCUUUCAGUAGGGACGAAGCGCAAGUGACGGUACCUGCAGAAGAAGCACCGGCUAACUACGUGCCAGCAGCCGCGGUAAUACGUAGGGUGCGAGCGUUGUCCGGAAUUACUGGGCGUAAAGAGCUCGUAGGCGGUUUGUCACGUCGUCUGUGAAAUCCUAGGGCUUAACCCUGGACGUGCAGGCGAUACGGGCUGACUUGAGUACUACAGGGGAGACUGGAAUUUCUGGUGUAGCGGUGGAAUGCACAGAUAUCAGGAAGAACACCGAUGGCGAAGGCAGGUCUCUGGGUAGUAACUGACGCUGAGGAGCGAAAGCAUGGGUAGCGAACAGG
rnacentral:rRNA from 1 species